rnacentral:rRNA from 1 species
GAUGAACGCUGGCGGCGUGCCUAAUACAUGCCAGUCGAGCGAACAGAUGAGGAGCUUGCUCCUCUGACGUUAGCGGCGGACGGGUGAGUAACACGUGGAUAACCUACCUAUAAGACUGGGAUAACUUCGGGAAACCGGAGCUAAUACCGGAUAAUAUAUUGAACCGCAUGGUUCAAUAGUGAAAGACGGUUUUGCUGUCACUUAUAGAUGGAUCCGCGCCGCAUUAGCUAGUUGGUAAGGUAACGGCUUACCAAGGUAACGAUGCGUAGCCGACCUGAGAGGGUGAUCGGCCACACUGGAACUGAGACACGGUCCAGACUCCUACGGGAGGCAGCAGUAGGGAAUCUUCCGCAAUGGGCGAAAGCCUGACGGAGCAACGCCGCGUGAGUGAUGAAGGUCUUCGGAUCGUAAAACUCUGUUAUUAGGGAAGAACAAAUGUGUAAGUAACUAUGCACGUCUUGACGGUACCUAAUCAGAAAGCCACGGCUAACUACGUG